rnacentral:rRNA from 1 species
GACGUAGGGCGCGAGCGUUGUCCGGAUUUAUUGGGCGUAAAGAGCUCGUAGGCGGCUUGUCGCGUCGGCUGUGAAAUCCCGUGGCUCAACUGCGGGUCUGCAGCCGAUACGGGCAGGCUAGAGUUCGGUAGGGGAGACUGGAAUUCCUGGUGUAGCGGUGAAAUGCGCAGAUAUCAGGAGGAACACCGGUGGCGAAGGCGGCUUCCUGGACCGACACUGACGCUGAGGCGCGAAAGCUAGGGGAGCAAACGGG